GACGGCGGCGGCGCGGGAGUGCGAGGCGCACACCGGGCGGGGCUGGCGGACAGUGAUGAGCGGGCGUGUGGGGAGGCUGCACGCCGCCGCCGCCCGGAGCAUCCGCCGCCUGAGCUGCUGCUCGCGGCCCGGGCCCCGGCCAUGGAGACGCUGAAUGGCCCCGCGGCCGGCGGCGCCCCGGAUGCGAAGCCGCAGCCGCCCGGCCAGCACCACCGCCACCACUAUCUCCACCCGCUGGCCGAGCGAAGGCGGCUGCACCGCGCGCCCUCGCCCGCCAGGCCAUUUCUCAAGGACCUGCACGGCCGGCCGGCGGCCCCCGGCCCGGCCGCCCCUUCCUCGGGCCGAGCCCCGGCGCCCGCCGCUCCGCGCUCGCCCAGCCUCGCGGGCAAGGCGCCGCCCUCGCCGGGGCCCCCGGCCGCGCCCGGCCGCGUCUCCCGGCGCAGCGGCGGCGCCCCCGGCGCGAAGGACAAGCCGCCGCCGGGCGCCGGGGCCAGAGCAGCGGGCGGCGCCAAGGCCGCUCCGGGCCCCAGGAAGGCGGCGCGCGCGGCGCCCGCCGAGCCGCUGCCCCGGGUCGGGAAGCCGCCGCUCGGGGCCGAGCCACUGCCCGCCGCUGCCAAGGGCCGCAAAGCCAAACGCGGCUCUGGUGUGGUCCCCGCCCGCGCCUCCGGUCCCCGGGUUCCCAUCGUCCCGGUCCCCGCCGUGAUCCUCGCCGUGACCCCCGUGGCCGGCUCCCCGGCCCCCGGCUCGCGCAUCAGCCACACUGACAGCAGCUCCGAUCUCUCCGACUGCCCCUCCGACCCCCUGUCCGACGAGCAGCGCCUGAUCCCCGCCGCCAGCAGCGACGCCGAGUCCGGCACGGGCUCCAGCGACCGGGAACCCCUGCGGGGAGCCCCCACGACGAGCCCCGCGGCUCGGGGGGCGCCUACGGGUAGCCCCGAGCCCUUCCCGCUCCUCGCCGCGCCCCCCGCCGCCUGCCUCGGGGGUCGGAGCAGCCCGAGCGGGGUCCCCGCGGGGUCCCCGGGGCCCGGCGUGGCGGAGGAUGCCGGGGGGUGCGCUCCGCCAGAGCGAACGGUCCCCGGGAACCCCAAGGAGCACGGCCCGGGCGAGCAGCCCCGGCUGGUACCGGCGGCGGCGGCGGAGGAGCUGCUGCGGGAGAUGGAGGAGCUGCGCUCGGAGAACGACUAUCUCAAGGAUGAGUUGGAUGAACUCCGUGCUGAAAUGGAAGAGAUGAGAGACAGUUACUUAGAGGAAGAUGUUUACCAGCUGCAGGAGCUUCGGCGGGAACUGGACCGCGCCAAUAAAAACUGCCGAAUCCUGCAGUACCGCCUCAGGAAGGCUGAGCAGAAGAGCCUGAAGGUGGCAGAGACCGGGCAGGUGGAUGGCGAGCUCAUCCGAAGUCUGGAGCAGGACUUAAAGGUGGCCAAAGAUGUGUCGGUCAGGUUGCACCAUGAACUUGAAACUGUGGAGGAAAAGAGAGCUAAAGCUGAAGAUGAGAAUGAAACUCUCCGACAGCAGAUGAUUGAAGUGGAAAUAUCCAAACAGGCCCUCCAAAACGAGCUGGAGAGACUGAAGGAGAGUUCCCUGAAGAGAAGAGGCAGCCGGGAAAUGUACAAAGAAAAGAAAGCCUUCACUCAGGAUGACAGCGCCGACCUGAGGUGCCAGCUCCAGUUUGCCAAAGAGGAGGGCUCGCUGAUGCUCAGGAAGAUGGCCAGGCUGGGGCGGGAGAAGGACGGGCUGGAACAGGAGCUGCAGAGGUACAAGGCCCUCUACGGGGACGUGGACAGCCCGCUCCCCACGGGGGAGGCCGGCGGGCCGCCCAGCACUCGGGAGGCCGAGCUGAAGCUGCGGCUGAAGCUGGUGGAGGAGGAAGCCAGCAUCUUGGGCCGGAAGAUCGUGGAGCUGGAGGUGGAGAAUCGGGGCCUCAAGGCGGAGAUGGAGGACCUGCGGGGCCAGCACGAGCGCGACGCCGCGGGCCGGGAGCCCCUGCCCGGCGUUCCGACCUCGCCCUUCGGGGACUCCCUGGAGUCCUCCGCAGAGCUGCGCCGGCACCUGCAGUUCGUGGAGGAGGAGGCGGAGCUGCUGCGGAGGUCCAUCUCCGAGAUCGAGGACCACAAUCGACAGUUGACCCACGAGCUGAGCAAGUUCAAGUUCGAGCCGCGGCCGGAGCCCGCGUGGCCGGCGGGGGGCGCGAGCGGCGGAGCGCCCCUGCAGGAGGAGCUCCAAGCGGCGCGGCUGCAGAUCAGGGAGCUGAGCGGGAAGGUGCUGACGCUGCAGCAUGAGAACCAGGCGCUGCUGUUGGGCGCCCCACGCUGUGACCCGGUCGCGCCCCCGGGCCCGCGCGCCCCAAGUCCCCGCGACAGCGACGCUGACAGCGACGCGGGCAAGAAAGAGAGCGAUGGGGAGGACGGCCGCGCGCUGCAGCCCCGGCGGGAGGGCCCCAUCGGCGGCGAGAGCGACUCGGAGGAGACCUUCGAGAAGACGUCGGGCUUCGGCAGCGGGAAGCCGUCGGAGGCUGGUGAGUGCCCGGCAGAGCUGCUCCGCGCUCGGGAGGGCUCGGAGCGCCUGGCGAACAUCAGGCACGAGGCCGAGCGGCUGGAGCGGACCGUGGAGCGCAUCAUCACCGACACCGACGGCUUCACGGACGUGCCGCUGCAGGGCGGUGGGGCCUUGUCGGGAGCCGGCGUCCAGGGCGCCAAGGAGGAGCCCCAGCUGCUGGGGACCCUCAAUGCGAGGAUGAAGGCCUUCAGGAAGGAGCUCCAGGCCUUCCUGGAGCAGGUGGAGCGGCUGGGGGAGGGCCUGUCCCCUCUGCCCCACCUCACCGAGUCUUCCAGCUUCCUGUCCUCUGUGACCUCCGUGUCCCGGGACUCCCCCGUCGGGAACCUGGGGAAGGAGCUGGGCCCGGGCCUGCAGUCCAAACUGAGAGAUCAGCUGGAGUGGCAGCCCGGGCAGGAGCGAGGGGAGGAGCGGGGGCCCCUGCACCUCCGAGCCACACGGGAGCUGCACCGUCGAGCCGACGGGGACGCGGGGAGCUGCCGGCCCGGAGCCCAGAGCUGCUUCAACCUGGAGGUGGAGGAGGGGCACCUGUGUGCCCUGCGGCGGCGGGAGCUGGAGGUGCACAGCCUGGCCCUGCAGAACUCGCUGCAGGAGCAGACCUGGAGUGACGAGAGGUACUUGAUGCAGCGGGAGCUAUGCUCCCUGAAGCAGAACAUCUUCCUUUUCUACGUCAAACUCAGGUGGCUGCUGAAACACUGGCGGCAAGGGAAGCAGGCGGAGGAGGACGCAGAGGAUUUCGUGGAGAGCGAGCUUCCAGAGACCUUCCACAGGCUUGGGGAGCCUGGCGUUCAGGAGGAUGCGAAGGUGGACGGUCCAGACCCAGAUGACGACGGUCCAGGCUGUGGCUUUUCCCUGGGGGAGCAUCCUCCACAGUUUGGUGUGCAGAUCGGUGACCACGGAUCACGGCUGCAGCCCACAGACGGGGGACAGCUCCACAGGCAGGUGGCAGAGAACCAGCCGCUGUUCUGCGCGCUCAAGGCGCUGCUGGAGGAGCUGCGCGUGGAGCUGCGGGAGGACGAACGUGCACGGCGGCGGCUGCAACAACAAUAUGCCGGCGAUAAGGCCUCCUGGGACGUGGAAUGGGCCGCGCUCACAUGCCGCCUGGAGCAGCUGGAAGCGAAGACUGAGAAAAGCUUGGGAGACCUGGGCUCCUCUGCUGACAGCAAAGGGGUGUUCAUGAAGGAGAGGGAGGCACAGCAGAAGCUCCUGGCUGACAGUCAUGGGCUGGUCAUGGACCUGCGAUGGCAGAUCCACCACAGCGAGAAGAACUGGAACCGAGAGAAGGUAGAGCUUCUCGACCGCCUGGACCGGGAGCGGCAGGAGUGGGGGCGGCAGGAGAAGGAGCUCCUGUGGAGAAUCGAACAGUUGCAGAAAGUGAACAGUCCCCGGAGAGGUGGCAGUUUCCUCUGUGAUCAAAAGGAAGGCGAUGUCCACCCCUGUGCCCACACGGGGAGCCCCUGGGCACCCCACCCCACGGGGACGUGGCCCUGCAUGGACACUGACUCCAGCACGUUUGAGGACCAGCCGCUGUCCAAGCUGAAGGAAUCGGACAGGUGCUCGGCCCGGGAGAACCUCUACCUGGAUGCCCUGUCCUUGGACGACGAGCCAGAGGAGCCUCCAGACCGCAAGCCCGAGAGGGAGUUCAGGAACUGCUUCCCCGAGGAAGAAGAAAAUCACAAGGGAAAUCUUCAAAGGGCCGUGUCCGUCUCAUCCAUGUCUGAGUUCCAGCGCUUGAUGGAUGGCUCUCCCUUCCUGCCAGAGAAGGGCCUGCCCACCACCAGCAGCAAGGAGGACAUCACCCCACCCCUCUCCCCAGAUGACCUCAAGUACAUCGAGGAGUUCAACAGCAAGAGCUGGGACGACAGGCCCCCCGACCCCUGGGCGGACAGGACCGAGGCGGGUCGGGCGAGGCCCGAGGCCAGCACCGACCCUUUCUCCGACUCCUCCUGGUACCUCACCACGAGCAUCACCCUGACCACGGACACCGUGACCAGCCCGGAGCACUGCCAGAAGCAGCUCCCGCGGAGCCUUGUCUGCGCCGAGCAGGCCGGGGUGAGGAUGCUGCACAGCCCGCCCGCCGUGCGGAGGCUGGAUGGCACUGUGGUGGCAGGCGGUGAGGGCAGGGCCCGAGGGGGCCCGGGGGACACCAAGGGGGGCUGUUCUGAACACAUUGUUAGGUGGCCCUGUGCCCCCUCCAAGCACCCCCGAGACUACACGGAGGGUGGGCUCUGGCCCCCCGACAGCACCCUCGGUUUCUCCUCCCCGCUGCACAGCCUGGAGACGUCCAAGAACCUGAGUGAUGACAUGAAGGAGGUGGCCUUCUCCGUCAGCGCUGUCUGCUCCAGCCCCAGGGAGCCUCUGGUCAAGGACACGGCCUGCCAGACCAAUGGGUCCCGGACAGCAGGGACGCAGACCAUCCAGACCAUCAGCAUCGGCCUGCAGACCGAAGCCCUGCGGGGCGGCGCCGUCACCAGCAGCCCCCACAAGUGUCUCACACCCAAGGCAGGGGGUGGCACCACGCCCGUGUCCUCCCCCUCCCGCGGCCUCAGGAACAGGCAGCUGGCCCCCGCCAUCGAGAAGGUGCAGGCCAAGUUUGAACGCACAUGCUGCUCCCCCAAGUACGGGUCUCCCAAGCUGCAGAGGAAGCCCCUCCCCAGAGUGGACCAGCCAAGCAGCAGGACCUCCCCGGGGCUGGCCCCGAAGGGCUGCGGCGAGUCAGCCUGGGCCCGUUCUACCACCACUCGGGAGAGCCCCGUGCACACGGCCAUCAACGACGGCCUCUCCAGCCUCUUCAGCAUCAUCGACCACAGCCCUAUGGUGCAGGACCCCUUCCAGAAGGGGGUGCGGGCCGCCAGUCGGUCUCGUUCGGCAGAGCCCCCGCCGGAGCUGGGCCCAGGCCAGGACACGAGCCCCAGCUCCCGAGGCCGGUCGCCCAGCCCGGUCGGGGGUGGCUCCGAGACGUGCAGGGAGGAAGGGGGAGAGGGCACGCCUGCGAGGCAGGACCUGUCUGCUCCCCCCGGCUACACGCUCACCGAGAACGUCGCCCGGAUCCUCCACCGGAAGCUGUUGGAACACGCCUUAAAGGAGGAGCAGAGGCAGGCCGCCCACGGCACCCCCAGUCUCAGCAGCAACGGCCCCGUGGGAGAAAUGACGGUCAGAGCCGAGCCAGGGUCCAUCGAGGAGUUUGUGUCCUGGGAGCGUGUGUGGGCAACAUCAGGCUUUCUGCUCCAGCUGUGUGUGUGAUGAAGAGAGAGGGUUUUGACAGGGUGGACAUAGAAGACCUCUCGUCAGGACCUACAGGAGGAGUGUCUGGAUCCCAGCGCUGGCUUCAGUGCAGACAGUGGGUUCACGUCUCACAAAUCCCAUUACCCUCUCUGUAUGCGUGCGUUCUCUUAGCAGUAAGACCAGGUGAGACGAAUGGAUAAGGUCAAAAUCCUGCCUUCAUACAAUGCGAUUAUUAUCCUUAUCCCCUUAAACAUCACCUAUUAUUAUGUUACCUGUGACCACACUUAUUAUCCACAUUGUCACAUAUUAUUAUGUGAUUAUUAUUAUUGUAUCCCUCCCCCCUUAAGGUUAUUUGCAAAUCAGUCGAUCUUGAAUUCUGCCCUGAUCAUACCCACAUGUGGCAUAACUGGACCACGGCAAGGAUGAGCGAAAUAAAACAAAGCCCGAUGAUGAUGCCGGGGGUGAAAACGGUGGUGAUGUUGGCCUUAUCGUUCACGCAGUGCCAGAGGAGGUUUCCCAGCCCUUGGUCAGACACCCUUAUGUGUAGACCUGGGGGUGAGGCCUGACCCACCAGGAACCCAGAUGCAAAACCUCCACAGCAGUGGAAUCCAGACACCGGUAGGCCUUCUCCAGGCUGGGCAGACAGCAGAUGGUGAAGGUUAGAGAAAGACACACAGGCUCCCUCCCAAGGCUCUGCAGCCCCAGAUGCACAGGUGAGGAGAGGAGGAGAUGUAUUUCCUGUGUCACCUGAUCCACCUGCUGCCCCACAUUUCCCAGUGGGAAAAGGAAUGCUCAGUUUCCCAGUAUAACCCAACAAGAGGCAUUUAACUCAAAAUACAGAGUUUAAAUCUGAAAUAGAUUAAACCAUGUGAAAUUGCCAGUGGCCUACAGAAAUGGCAACACCAUAUGGUUCAACCUAAUAAUAUUGACAGUCUGUGGCCUACGCCUGCCAAAGGUACACGUCUCUGUGAUAAAGCUGUGUGCUCUGAGAAGGAGGUUGUGUUCUCAGGUAACAAAUGGUGUCUUCUGCGGGCUUGUUACCCCAUCCCUCAGGUAAGUGGUUUGCUGCUGCAGAGGGUCUAGCUAGGUGAGUGCCACACCUUCUUGGAAUGAGAGCUUUGUCCCAAGCAUUAACUAGCUUGUCUGUGGUGUCCAUUUAUAUUAGAGACAUUUUGAGUCACGAAUGAAUGCUGCAGGCAAUCUAUGAGACCAGAAAGGAAAUAGUGCUGUGAUUGAGUCAUUAAACCAAGGCAUGAAAAUGGCUUUAUCCAUAUAAAGCUGUGUCCCCCUUUGGUCCUCUGUGAAGUGUCUGUUUGUUUAGAUUUUCUUCUCACUCGGUGUGUUUACUACCAAAAGAGGUGAUGGUUGAUUUAAAGGGGGACCAGGCACGGUGUCAGGGGUUCAGAACUGGCAUGGAGCUCUCACGGGCAGUGUUUAAAUGUCGUGGGCUCUUUUUCCUUUGCUGUUGGAAUUUGGCUUAUUCUAGACUCCAGUGGAAUUAUUCCUCACCUGAACUGACUUACUAUAUUAGGCCCAUUGGAGACCCCAAGACCCCUUCCCAUCCCUCCCUAGACUUGUGGUAGUUUUUUUUCAUUUCAAAAUCAGAAUGAAUUCAGAUUUCCCACCCUCCUCUGAGCCCAUGUGGGAGAAUCUUUCCCGGAGUGCUCAAUGGGACAUCUAACCGUGGGUGAUGAUGGAGUCAUCCCUAGCCAGGAACGGGCACAGUAGGAAACUCCCUUUCUCCCCUCACUCUAAACCCCAUGAGCUACUUAUUCCUCUGUUUCUCUUGAAGACAUAGCACCAUUCUUUCUCUCUAGAAGCUGUGAGCAGGUCUGGUGUGAAGAGAGAGGAUAAUCUGGAAAUGAAUGUCUCAGUGGAAAAUUCGAAGGGCAAGUUUUAGUCUGAGCUGCAGUCAUUUGGUCAUUGUGACUAAAACAAUCUGGCUGUUUAAUGGGCUCUGUUUCAAAAACAGCAGUCGUAGGGUGUUGGAAAUGUUCAAUGCCAAGGGGCAGCUCGGGAAGAAGAGAAGAAUAGCCAGCGGAAGGGAGAGGUCUGUAGCUGUUCUGUCGUGAGGGCCCCUCCUACUCUGGCCAGGCGGGGGCCGGCCUGUGUGCCCGCUUCUGCAGGACCUCGCUUCUCCAGAUGGCUGCCACCAGGCCUGUUGACUUUAAACCUUUACUGUUGUUCUUUUUUAAAAAGUACUUUCAAACCUACUUGCUUUUUCUCUUCUUUGUCUGUCUGUUCUGUCCAGAACCAAACUGUCUUACUAACUGCCCCCUGGGGACUCUAGCCCUGCCUGCCUCACGCCGAACUCCCUUGUUCUGCACUAGCUCCAUCCCUAGAACCCUGCUUCUCCAGGCCCGAGAGACCAGCAAACCGUCGCCCUCCGUCCCGCUGGGCC